AACAUGGCCAAAGAGGCGAUUUCUCAACUAGAGUUUCUCCUUCAACCAUGAGAGCUAAGUGGAAGAAGAAGCGCAUGAGGAGGUUGAAGAGGAAGCGCCGAAAGAUGAGGCAGAGAUCUAAGUAGCCUAUCGAAUUCGCAGCGCGUCGUUUCUAGGGUUUCAAUUUCGUUUAUGUUAUUUGCUUCUCGAAUUUUCUUAUGUGUUAGUCUUAUGACGAUUUUGAACUACAUGUUUUUGGAUCUACUAUUUAAUCCAUUUGUGAUUUUCGUUAAAAA